rnacentral:rRNA from 1 species
UACGUAGGGGUGCAAGCGUUAUCGGAAUUACUGGGCGUAAAGCGUGCGCAGGCGGUGAUUGAUAAGACGGUGUGAAAUCCCCGGGCUUAACCUGGGAACUGCAUUGGUGACUGGCAGGCUUUGAGUGUGGCAGAGGGAGGUAGAAUUCCACGUGUAGCAGUGAAAUGCGUAGAGAUGUGGAGGAAUACCGAUGGCGAAGGCAGCCUCCUGGGCCAACACUGACGCUCAUGCACGAAAGCGUGGGGAGCAAACAGG